rnacentral:lncRNA from 1 species
UAACCUCCACCACCACCAUAUCCACCACCUCCACCGUUGCGGUUAUAGCCACCUCCACCACCUUCACGGCGGCCUCCUCCUCCAUAUCCUCCUCCACCGCGGCUGUAACCGCCGCCGCCAUAACCACCACCACCUCCGUAUCCACCGCCACCACCGCCUCUUCCACGGGAUUGUGCUUCGUUCACUGUGAUACUACGACCGUCGAGGUUCUGACCGUUCAUUCCUUCGAUUGCGUCUUUCAUCGCCUGCUCCGAGGCGAAGGUCACAAAUCCAAACCCUCUCGAUCUUCCAGUUUCACGAUCGAUGAUAACCUGAACACACAAAAAACAUCGAACCGCAUCAGAUCGGGAACCGAAUCACGAAAUUCAGAAAAAAAAAAAAAAACAGAUUAAUUAGAACCGAUCGAUCUUCGCCUUUGGAUCAAAGAUGAAGAUGAACGUACCGAUUGGUGUGAGUAAUAAAAGAAUCAUUAUAGUAACACAAGAAGUAUCAUAGAUCAAGUAACGCAAAACAGAUGAGAGAGAAUCCAAAUCCGAAUGGUGUCAGAUCCGAUCCAAUCCCUGCGACUAACGGACCUUCGAUUCGACGAUCUCACCAUAAUGAGAGAAGGCUUUCUCGAGAGCAUCGCUGUCGGUGGCCCAAGCAAGCCCACCGACAAAGCAUCGGUACUCUA